rnacentral:rRNA from 1 species
GGCCCUUCGGGGUACUCGAGUGGCGAACGGGUGAGUAACACGUGGGUGAUCUGCCCUGCACUUUGGGAUAAGCCUGGGAAACUGGGUCUAAUACCGAAUAUUCCCUACCGGUUGCAUGGUUGGUGGGGGAAAGCUUUUUGCGGUGUGGGAUGGGCCCGCGGCCUAUCAGCUUGUUGGUGGGGUGGUGGCCUACCAAGGCGACGACGGGUAGCCGGCCUGAGAGGGUGUCCGGCCACACUGGGACUGAGAUACGGCCCAGACUCCUACGGGAGGCAGCAGUGGGGAAUAUUGCACAAUGGGCGCAAGCCUGAUGCAGCGACGCCGCGUGGGGGAUGACGGCCUUCGGGUUGUAAACCUCUUUCAUUACCGACGAAGCCGAAGUGACGGUAGGUACAGAAGAAGCACCGGCCAACUACGUGCCAGCAGCCGCGGUAAUACGUAGGGUGCGAGCGUUGUCCGGAAUUACUGGGCGUAAAGAGCUCGUAGGUGGUUUGUCGCGUUGUCCGUGAAAACUCACAGCUUAACUGGGGGCGUGCGGGCGAUACGGGCAGACUGGAGUACUGCAGGGGAGACUGGAAUUCCUGGUGUAGCGGUGGAAUGCGCAGAUAUCAGGAGGAACACCGGUGGCGAAGGCGGGUCUCUGGGCAGUAACUGACGCUGAGG